rnacentral:rRNA from 1 species
UACGUAGGGUGCGAGCGUUGUCCGGAAUUAUUGGGCGUAAAGGGCUCGUAGGCGGUUUGUUGCGUCGGGAGUGAAAACUCAGGGCUUAACCCUGAGCCUGCUUCCGAUACGGGCAGACUGGAGUACUGCAGGGGAGACUGGAAUUCCUGGUGUAGCGGUGGAAUGCGCAGAUAUCAGGAGGAACACCGGUGGCGAAGGCGGGUCUCUGGGCAGUAACUGACGCUGAGGAGCGAAAGCGUGGGGAGCGAACAGG